AAGGGAGGACAGAAAUCGAUGAGUACUGCUAAUCCUUAUGCCCCGCGGUUAAAUUCCGCGGCUUCCUUA
rnacentral:tRNA from 1 species